rnacentral:tRNA from 1 species
GGGAAUAUAGCUCAGUUGGUAGAGUGCCUGCCUUGCAAGCAGAAAGUCCUCGGUUCGACUCCGAGUAUUUCCA